rnacentral:rRNA from 1 species
AUUGAACGCUGGCGGCAGGCCUAACACAUGCAAGUCGAACGAGUGGCGGACGGGUGAGUAAUAUCUGGGAAACUGCCUGAUGGAGGGGGAUAACUACUGGAAACGGUAGCUAAUACCGCAUACCAUCGGAUGUGCCCAUAUGGGAUUAGCUAGUUGGUGGGGUAAAGGCUCACCUAGGCGACGAUCCCUAGCUGGUCUGAGAGGAAGACCAGCCACACUGGAACUGAGACACGGCCCAGACUCCUACGGGAGGCAGCAGUGGGGAAUAUUGGACAAUGGGGGCAAGCCUGAUGCAGCCAUCCCGCGUGUAUGAUGAAGGCCUUCGGGUUGUAAAGUACUUUUAGCGGGGAGGCGUUACCCGCAGAAGAAGCACCGGCUAACUCCGUGCCAGCAGCCGCGGUAAUAC